AAGGAUCACAAUGAACAUUAGGUUCCUCAAUGUAUUCACCAUUUCCAGGUGCACAAUACAUAUGAUAAGCCUCAUAAGGGAAACGAAUCGUAUCGUUUCGAUGAAUUCUUGAUCCAUUUGAGAAAAUGUGGUACGGUGGACACAGUUUUGGACUAUCUGGUUUGCACCAUGAUGGUGUUUCUGGAUUCAAUAUCAUCUCACUGUAUCGCGUAA
rnacentral:misc_RNA from 1 species